GAUGAACGCUGGCGGCGUGCUUAACACAUGCAAGUCGAACGAAGCACUUAUGACAGAUUCUUCGGAUGAUGGAUUAAGUGACCGAGUGGCGGACGGGUGAGUAACGCGUGGGUAACCUGCCUCAUACAGGGGGAUAACAGUUAGAAAUGACUGCUAAUACCGCAUAAGCGCACAAUACCGCAUGGUAUGGUGUGAAAAACUCCGGUGGUAUGAGAUGGACCCGCGUCUGAUUAGCUAGUUGGUGGGGUAACGGCCUACCAAGGCGACGAUCAGUAGCCGGCCUAAGAGGGUGAACGGCCACAUUGGGACGGAGACACGGCCCAAACUCCUACGGGAGGCAGCAGUGGGGAAUAUUGCACAAUGGGGGAAACCCUGAUGCAGCGACGCCGCGUGAGUGAAGAAGUAUUUCGGUAUGUAAAGCUCUAUCAGCAGGGAAGAAAAUGACGGUACCUGACUAAGAAGCACCGGCUAAAUACGUGCCAGCCGCCGCCGUAACAC
rnacentral:rRNA from 1 species